rnacentral:lncRNA from 1 species
UCAUCAAGCAUGUCAUCAAGGAUGCAAGAGAUGGCCCUGUGGCCCAGCGAGCAUCACCUCUAACAAGUGUACUGCAGGUUUCCUGGCAGUGCAAGUCUGAAUUUUUUAAUUUGUCUGUUUGUUAGACUUAUUUAUUUAUUAUUUUCUGUGUAUAGAUCUGUAUUGUGGGAUCUGUAGAGUGGAAUAACUGAGUGGGCUUUCCCUGAAGGAUAUAGUGUUCAGGGACCUCACUGGUGAAGGUGGCAGCCCCAGAGGGGCACAGGUGGCUCAUGGGGAGCCAGCACUGUGGUGACACAGACUUUAGCCACAAGCCAUGUUGAAUUGUGCUGUGCUAAUAGGCUCAAGACCCAGCACCUGGAUCAUUUCUGCCUCUUGAGUUGGGAUGUUCACGAUCACUGUUUCAGCCUGGGCCCAGAAAGAUGAGCAGCUCUGGUCCUAAUCUGAGCUUGAUCCUGAUUUGAGCUUUAAUUUUUAUUCCUUCCAUGAUGUGAAGCCUGAUCCAGAGCUUGACACAAGAUCCCUCCCUUCUCCCUCACCUGCCACUCAGAUUGAGCUUCCUGCCUUCCUUCUGGCCUCCCUCACCCCGCGGGGGAAUCACUUAUCGUAGGAGAAUGAGACAGGGAGGAGGACUUAGCAUCAAGGACCUGCAGUGCCUCCAGAGACCCGAGUCCUAUUUAUGACUCUGCCGCUUUGUACUGAGUGACUUCAGCCUUUCCUCAAGAUGGCAUGACUUGUAUCGUCUUCCAUCUGUUCUGCUACAAAUUGGAAAUCCAGCAUCAUCCCAGGGCCAAUUACUCUGCAGAGAAUCCUGCUGGUUCUUCACUUCAGGACCACUCACGCUUCCCUGAAAGGCUGACAACUUUGUCUCCCAGAUGCUCUGUUCACUGUCAGGGCAACUCUCCCUUUGGGACUGCUGAGUGAAAACACGUCCUGUGAAAGCAUUUCUGCUCAUUUCAUCUGCAAGCUGGUAUGGUCUGCUUCCUGCCCCCUCCCUGUUUCUUCCAAUCUUCAGUAGGAUCCUACAUGCCAAUAAAGAGUCAAAUUAGAAACUACUGUCA